rnacentral:rRNA from 1 species
GACGAACGCUGGCGGCGUGCUUAACACAUGCAAGUCGAACGACGAAGCCUAGCUUGCUAGGUGGAUUAGUGGCGAACGGGUGAGUAAUACGUGAGUAACCUACCUUUAACUCUGGGAUAAGCCUGGGAAACUGGGUCUAAUACCGGAUACGACCAAUCUCCGCAUGGGGUGUUGGUGGAAAGCGUUAUGUAGUGGUUAUAGAUGGGCUCACGGCCUAUCAGCUUGUUGGUGAGGUAACGGCUCACCAAGGCGACGACGGGUAGCCGGCCUGAGAGGGUGACCGGCCACACUGGGACUGAGACACGGCCCAGACUCCUACGGGAGGCAGCAGUGGGGAAUAUUGCACAAUGCGGCGCAAGCCUGAUGCAGCGACGCCGCGUGAGGGAUGACGGCCUUCGGGUUGUAAACCUCUGUUAGCAGGGAAGAAGAGAAAUUGA